UAUGACAUUUAUAUGAAAUUCUU
rnacentral:siRNA from 1 species